rnacentral:snRNA from 1 species
ACUAUUAUGACAUGUAGAAGAGA